AAGACAUCUUAUGGGAGUUAUUUCCCUUUGAAAAUUUAAGAUAGGCGAUUUGUUGGAUAAAUUCAUACGUUAUAAGUCGUAGAGGCCUACAGUCUUUUGAUAUGAAAUCCUUGGUCCAUUUGAAGGAAAUUGAGGUCAAGGUCAAAGUCAAGGUCAUGUUCUUAAUUUUGAAUUUUGCUUGUUAUCGAUAUACCACAGAAACUGUGACAGAAAAUGAUAUGAUGUGUUUGCCAAAUAACUGUUUACAAUAAG
rnacentral:lncRNA from 1 species